rnacentral:rRNA from 1 species
UACGUAGGCAGCAAGCGUUGUUCGGAGUUACUGGGCGUAAAGAGUGCGUAGGUGGUGCCCUAAGUCUGUUGUGAAAUCUCCCGGCUUAACUGGGAGGGUGCGGUGGAAACUGGGGUGCUUGAGUGUGGGAGAGGUAAGCGGAAUUCCUGGUGUAGCGGUGAAAUGCGUAGAGAUCAUGAGGAAGACCAGUGGCGAAGGCGGGUCUCUGGACAGUUCCUGACACUGAGACACGAAGGCCAGGGGAGCAAACGGG